rnacentral:tRNA from 1 species
GCUGUUGUGGUGGAAUGGUAGACACAUAACUUUCAAAAAGUUACGGAUAUAAUCUGUAUCGGUUCGAGUCCGAUCAACGGCA